UUUUGUGAUACCCUCCGAAAAAAAAAUUGCAGUUUUGUGUCCAUCUGUCUGUUCAUGCAUCCGUCCCCCAGUGGUUUUCAGAGAAAAUAACUUUACAAAAGAUGAAUGAUUUAUUUUGAAACUCUGUAUAAAUGUUAAGUACAAUAAAUAGCAAUCAAAGUUAAAUUUUAAGCUUGAUCAAGUUAUGUCAUAUUUUUACUUUUUGCCACCCCCCCCCUUUUUCAACCAAUACAUCAUGUACAUGGCAGGG
rnacentral:lncRNA from 1 species